rnacentral:rRNA from 1 species
AUUGAACGCUGGCGGCAGGCCUAACACAUGCAAGUCGAACGGUAACAGGAAGCAGCUUGCUGCUUCGCUGACGAGUGGCGGACGGGUGAGUAAUGUCUGGGAAGCUGCCUGAUGGAGGGGGAUAACUACUGGAAACGGUAGCUAAUACCGCAUAAUGUCGCAAGACCAAAGAGGGGGACCUUCGGGCCUCUUGCCAUCGGAUGUGCCCAGAUGGGAUUAGCUUGUUGGUGGGGUAACGGCUCACCAAGGCGACGAUCCCUAGCUGGUCUGAGAGGAUGACCAGCCACACUGGAACUGAGACACGGUCCAGUCUCCUACGGGAGGCAGCAGUGGGGAAUAUUGCACAAUGGGCGCAAGCCUGAUGCAGCCAUGCCGCGUGUAUGAAGAAGGCCUUCGGGUUGUAAAGUACUUUCAGCGGGGAGGAAGGGAGUAAAGUUAAUACCUUUGCUCAUUGACGUUACCCGCAGAAGAAGCACCGGCUAACUCCGUG